rnacentral:lncRNA from 1 species
CCCAUGAAUGCUGAUGGAUACUCAGGGUACUCUGGAGAAUGAGAAAGAUUACAACAUUGCCGACAUUGCCGACAUUGCCUCCCACAGCUAUGGAGUUGAAGUCCACAAACCUGCAAGUUGGAAAUGUGGGAGAAUGAGGGUUUAGUUCCAGGUGGAAUGUGCGUGGGCCUGAGGACCAGGACAGCAGGUGUUCCAAGUUCCAGUCUGAGUCCGCUGUGGUUUGCCCCCCAAGUUCGUGUGCUAGAAGCUUGGUUCUCGUUGUGGUGCGACCUUUAACGCUGCUUAGUACUACACAGGGUCAGGCAUUAAGCCCUUGGACGGAUCAGUGCUGGUCCUGAAGAGCAGGUGAGUUUUCCAAGAGUGGGUGCUUAGGAAGCGAGGCUACACAACAAGGUUGAUCUCUUGUGAUCAUAAAGUGAUUCCUUGGCUGCUUCUCCUCUGGGUUGUUUCAGCCACAGAUGCCGUCCGAAGCUGAUGCUGGUGACAGUCACUUGAAUCUUUAAAGUGGACUGAAUGAAGCUCUUUCUCCGUCAGUCAAUCGUGGAAGGGGUGUGGCCUCGUCUUGGCGCAGCCACAAGGCUCAAGCACAAAGCAGCCCCACAAGUCUCUGAGAAGAGGAACAACUUUGCUAACUGUUGGGGCUUUUGUGUUUGUCUGUAUAUUUUUGGUGUUCCUGGACAUGGAUCCUGAGGCUCUUGAGUGUUAAAUCCCACCUAGCUAUAUUCCCCUCCAAGGCCUCCAUUUUAUUGGUCUUUAUCUCCUUUAAACCUGAUUUACCUUGGUUUGUUUUUUGCUUUCUUGUCUGCUUUUUGAGAAAGUGUCUCACUCUGUAGAGUGAGCUGGUCUUGUGUUUUCAAGGGUCCACCUUGCCUCAGCCCACCUAGGGCAAGGUCUACAGGCUGAGAGCUACAAUCCUGGCU